CGGAGGGGCUAGCGUUGUUCGGAAUUACUGGGGCGUAAAGCGCACGUAGGCGGACCAGAAAGUUGGGGGUGAAAUCCCGGGGCUCAACCUCGGAACUGCCCUCAAAACUAUUGGUCUGGAGUUCGAGAGAGGUGAGUGGAAUUCCGAGUGUAGAGGUGAAAUUCGUAGAUAUUCGGAGGAACACCAGUGGCGAAGGCGGCUCAACUGGCUCGAUACUGACGCUGAGGUGCGAAAAGCGUGGGGGAGCAAAACAGGAUU
rnacentral:rRNA from 1 species